UUCAGAAAAACUCUGGCAUUCUUGGCAGAUGAACAAUGAUCAAGAAAACCAAAGACAGACUACAAUAAGUUACUUCUUCAACCCACCAUAGAAGUACAGAAAAAUCAGCCAAGGUCUCCCACCAGCAAAGCCCAUGCCAGUAGCAGUACCUCUCAACAGUGCCCGAAAUGGGCCACCCUCUUUCCAACUCCAUCUUCCUGGAACAGGAGAAGAUGAAGAAGUAAAGGAAGCAAGGUUUCAUGCAGAUACAGGAUUGAACUGCUGGUCCAAAGAGAAACCAGCUAAAAGCAUUCCCAGAAAAACUUCAGCUUGGAAAAUGUAGCCCAAAGAUGGGAUCAGGAGACAUUCUUCAAGCAAAAGCUUCCAAACCUCUGAGUCUGACCACCUGAGGAAGGCACCCAUCUCUUUCCUUUCAGCUGAGCUAUAGAUCCAUCAUUUAUUCAGCCACUAGAAUUAUAUAGAUCCAACCCCCUGGGGAAGCCUACAUAUAUAUCCUUACACAUGGAAAAGGGGUACAGAUUGAAGAGACAGAGACAGAGACAAAGAGAGAGACAGAGAGAGAGAGAGACACAGAGAGAGAGAGAAAGAGACCGAGACAGAGAGACAGAGAUGUUUCCUCUGGAAUUUGGACAGAACUCAAUAUUGAGUCUCAGCUUCUGGGAGGACUAGGUGGGGCUUUUCUACUUUUGUACCUUUUAAGUGCAUUACAAUUAAACAUUGAUAUUUGCUUCCUUGGGCAUGUAAGCCACAUCAUAAAUGUUAGAUUUCCAG
rnacentral:lncRNA from 1 species